UACCACCCUUUAAUGUUUGAUGUUCUAACGUUGGCCCCUAAUCGGGGUUGCGGACAGUGUCUGGUGGGUAGUUUGACUGGGGCGGUCUCCUCCUAAAGAGUAACGGAGGAGCACGAAGGUUGGCUAAUCCUGGUCGGACAUCAGGAGGUUAGUGCAAUGGCAUAAGCCAGCUUGACUGCGAGCGUGACGGCGCGAGCAGGUGCGAAAGCAGGUCAUAGUGAUCCGGUGGUUCUGAAUGGAAGGGCCAUCGCUCAACGGAUAAAAGGUACUCCGGGGAUAACAGGCUGAUACCGCCCAAGAGUUCAUAUCGACGGCGGUGUUUGGCACCUCGAUGUCGGCUCAUCACAUCCUGGGGCUGAAGUAGGUCCCAAGGGUAUGGCUGUUCGCCAUUUAAAGUGGUACGCGAGCUGGGUUUAGAACGUCGUGAGACAGUUCGGUCCCUAUCUGCCGUGGGCGCUGGAGAACUGAGGGGGGCUGCUCCUAGUACGAGAGGACCGGAGUGGACGCAUCACUGGUGUUCGGGUUGUCAUGCCAAUGGCACUGCCCGGUAGCUAAAUGCGGAAGAGAUAAGUGCUGAAAGCAUCUAAGCACGAAACUUGCCCCGAGAUGAGUUCUCCCUGACUCCCUGAGAGUCCUGAAGGAACGUUGAAGACGACGACGUUGAUA
rnacentral:rRNA from 1 species